rnacentral:rRNA from 1 species
UCGAGGGGCAGCAUGGUCUUAGCUUGCUAAGGCCGAUGGCGACCGGCGCACGGGUGAGUAACACGUAUCCAACCUGCCGUCUACUCUUGGACAGCCUUCUGAAAGGAAGAUUAAUACAAGAUGGCAUCAUGAGUCCGCAUGAUUAAAGGUAUUUUCCGGUAGACGAUGGGGAUGCGUUCCAUUAGUUUGUUGGCGGGGUAACGGCCCACCAAGACUACGAUGGAUAGGGGUUCUGAGAGGAAGGUCCCCACAUUGGAACUGAGACACGGUCCAAACUCC